rnacentral:rRNA from 1 species
GACGAACGCUGGCGGCGUGCCUAAUACAUGCAAGUCGAGCGAAUCAGCAGGAGCUUGCUCCUGUUGGUUAGCGGCGGACGGGUGAGUAACACGUGGGCAACCUGCCUGUAAGACUGGGAUAACACCGGGAAACCGGUGCUAAUACCGGAUAAUCCUUUUCCUCUCAUGAGGAAAAGCUGAAAGUCGGUUUCGGCUGACACUUACAGAUGGGCCCGCGGCGCAUUAGCUAGUUGGUGAGGUAACGGCUCACCAAGGCGACGAUGCGUAGCCGACCUGAGAGGGUGAUCGGCCACACUGGGACUGAGACACGGCCCAGACUCCUACGGGAGGCAGCAGUAGGGAAUCUUCCACAAUGGACGAAAGUCUGAUGGAGCAACGCCGCGUGAGCGAUGAAGGCCUUCGGGUCGUAAAGCUCUGUUGUUAGGGAAGAACAAGUACCGGAGUAACUGCCGGUACCUUGACGGUACCUAACCAGAAAGCCACGGCUAACUACGUGCCAGCAGCCGCCGUAA